UAAAAUUUACUGAUUCGUCAACAAGCUUCAUGUGACAAUUUAUCUACGCGAACGCGCGCAACCGUUGACCGAUUGCCACUUUGCGCCUGUUUUUCGUUGGAUGAUGUAGGCUAUGUGACGUCCGUUUUCUGAAUUCAACUUUUGCUGAUACUUUUAGAAACCCUAACUUUUAAUCUGAUCGUAUACAAUUUUAUGAAACUAUGGAAGUUACCAAUUACCUGAGGGAAGAAAGUUCAACAGCAUUUAGGCAAGUCCACCGUUCUUCUGUAAAGGCACCCUGUAUGCAUAAUUAAAUAUGAAACUUAAGCAAGUUUGUAAUGAAGAAGAUGUAGUUGCCAGAAGAGAUGACAACGAUGAGGACGAUAGCAAUAUUAUGUGAAUGCGUUUGAUUUGUAGCACAUCCUCUUUAUUGGUUCUGAUACAACAUUCUACUUCGCAAAUGGUUCCAUUGUGACAAAACAGCUAUGAAUUUCCUCUGUCAAGGCUUGAUUCAGAGAGGGUGUAGCCAUCUGCUUUUCUCAAUAUCCAAGAUUUUUAAGUGUGCACUAUGGAGUUUUGUACACUAGGCCCCUUGUUUAUUUUUGAUAUUUCUUUGACAUUUUUAAAAUCAAUUGAACUUGCCAAAUACUGACUGAAAUAACUGUACUUACAGAAAUAGUAUAGAAUUGUCAGCACUUGACUCUAACUUGAUUUUGAUUUAUUAUUUUUUUGGAUAUUGAUUAUUGUAUAUCCUUUUGUCCUUUAUUGAAAUGGGGCUUUUGCUAAUUUACAGUAUAAUACAGUACACUAGGAUGCAUUAAACAUUAAAGGAUAAACACAUAACGCUAUAUAAUUGUAAGUAAUUUUGUAUUGUUGACCUCUUUUGUCCCAAAGCAUCAAAGUUAACACGAUGUAGUGACCAGAGGCCGACCUACGGAUAUGCACAGUGUACAGCCUUUGUUCAAGUUUUGAAAACGUCUUGGAAUACCAAUCAAACUCAAAAGUUUUACCGUUAUUUUGAUGUUUUUAAACGUUUUUAAAGCAUUCUUAAAAGGUAUUACAAGACCAAAGUCAAUGUAACUAGAGUUAACA